AGCGAUACAGCUCAGUGGCAGGGCGUUUGCCUAGCACGCACAAGGCCCUGGGAUCAAUUCCCAGUACCACAG
rnacentral:tRNA from 1 species